GUGGGGAAUAUUGCACAAUGGGCGAAAGCCUGAUGCAGCAACGCCGCGUGAAGGAUGAAGGCCUUUGGGUCGUAAACUUCUGUCCUUGGGGAAGAAAAAAAUGACGGUACCCCUGGAGGAAGUCCCGGCUAACUACGUGCCAGCAGCCGCGGUAAUACGUAGGGGGCGAGCGUUAUCCGGAAUUAUUGGGCGUAAAGAGUACGUAGGUGGUUUUUUAAGCGCAGGGUUUAAGGCGAUGGCUCAACUGUCGUUCGCCCUGUGAACUGGAAGACUUGAGUACAGGAGAGGAAAGCGGAAUUCCUAGUGUAGCGGUGAAAUGCAUAGAUAUUAGGAGGAACACCAGUGGCGAAGGCGGCUUUCUGGACUGUAACUGACACUGAGGUACGAAAGCGUGGGGAGCAAACAGGAUUAGAUACCCUUGUAGUCC
rnacentral:rRNA from 1 species